rfam:Oryza sativa (indica cultivar-group) chromosome 6, whole genome shotgun sequence.
GUAUGGCGCCGUCGACUUUUUUUUUAUCAACGUUUGACCAUUCGUCUUAUUCAAAAAAUUUAUGUAAUUAUCAUUUAUUUUAUUGUGACUUGAUUUAUCAUCAAAUAUUCUUUAAGCAUGACAUAAAUAUUUUUAUAAUUGCACAAAAUUUGAAUAAGACGAAUAGUCAAACGUUGUUAGAAAAGUCAACGGUGUCAUAUAUU